GAUGAACGCUGGCGGCGUGCUUAACACAUGCAAGUCGAACGGACUUAAGAUGAAGCCUAGCGAUUCUUAAGUUAGUGGCGGACGGGUGAGUAACGCGUGGGUAACCUGCCUCACACUGGGGGAUAACAGUUAGAAAUGACUGCUAAUACCGCAUAACCCGCUAAGGUCGCAUGACCUAGACGGAAAAGAUUUAUCGGUACGAGAUGGACCCGNGUCUGAUUAGCUAGUUGGUGAGGUAACGGCCCACCAAGGCGACGAUCAGUAGCCGGACUGAGAGGUUGAACGGCCACAUUGGGACUGAGAUACGGCCCAGACUCCUACGGGAGGCAGCAGUGGGGAAUAUUGGGCAAUGGGGGAAACCCUGACCCAGCAACGCCGCGUGAAGGAAGAAGGCCUUCGGGUUGU
rnacentral:rRNA from 1 species